rnacentral:rRNA from 1 species
CCCUUAGAUGUUCUGGUCCGCACGCGCGCUACACUGAUGCAUUCAACGAGUUUCUUCCUGGUCCGAGAGGAAUGGGUAACCUUUUGAAAGUGCAUCGUGAUAGGGAUAGACUAUUGCAAUUAUUGGUCUUCAACGAGGAAUUCCUAGUAGACGUAGUUCAUCAGACUGCAUCGAUUACGUCCCUGCCCUUUGUACACACCGCCCGUCGCUCCUACCGAUUGAAUGCUCAGGUGAGCCAUUCGGACCUUCAUCAUGCCGGUUUCCGGUUUUGAUGAGGGAAAGUCUUGCGAACCUUAUCAUUUAGAGGAAGGAGAAGUCGUAACA